rnacentral:rRNA from 1 species
AGCGAACGCUGGCGGCAGGCCUAACACAUGCAAGUCGAACGAACUCUUCGGAGUUAGUGGCGGACGGGUGAGUAACACGGGGGAACGUGCCUAUUGGUUCGGAAGAACUCAGGGAAACUUGUGCUAAUACCGAAUGUGCCCUUCGGGGGAAAGAUUUAUCGCCAUUAGAGGGGCCCGGGUCUGAUUAGCUAGUUGGUGAGGUAACGGCUCACAAAGGGGACGAUCAGUAGCUGGUCUGAGAGGAUGACCAGCCACACUGGGACUGAGACACGGCCCAGACUCCUACGCGAUGCAGCAGUGCCUAAUCUUGCGCAACCGGCGAAAUCCUGACGCAGCCAUGCCGCGUGAAUGAUGAAGGUCUUAGGAUUGUAAAAUUCUUUCACCGGUGACGAUAAUGACGUUACCCGGAGAAGAAGCCCCGGCUAACUUCGUG